rnacentral:rRNA from 1 species
AAUGGGGGAAACCCUGACACAGCGACGCCGCGUGGAGGAUGAAGGCUUUCGGGUCGUAAACUCCUUUUAGCCGGAAAAAAAUAAAUGAUGGUACCGGCAGAAUAAGCACCGGCCAACUCUGUGCCAGCAGCCGCGGUGAUACAGAGGGUGCAAGCGUUAUUCGGAGUUACUGGGCGUAAAGCGCGUGUAGGCGGCUUGUUAAGUUUGAUGUGAAAGCCCUGGACUCAAUCCAGGAAGUGCAUUGAAUACUGGCGAGCUAGAGUACAGGAGGGGAGAGUGGAAUUCCAGGUGUAGAGGUGAAAUUCGUAGAUAUCUGGAGGAACAACAGUGGCGAAAGCGGCUCUCUGGACUGUUACUGACGCUGAGACGCGAAAGCGUGGGGAGCAAA